GAUGAACGCUGGCGGCGUGCCUAAUACAUGCCAGUCGAGCGAACAGACGAGAGUGCUUGCACUCUCUGACGUUAGCGGCGGACGGGUGAGUAACACGUGGGUAACCUACCUAUAAGACUGGGAUAACUUCGGGAAACCGGAGCUAAUACCGGAUAAUAUUUAGCUUCGCAUGAAGCAAUAGUGAAAGACGGUUCUGCUGUCACUUAUAGAUGGACCCGCGGUGUAUUAGCUAGUUGGUGAGGUAACGGCUCACCAAGGCAACGAUACAUAGCCGACCUGAGAGGGUGAUCGGCCACACUGGGACUGAGACACGGCCCAGACUCCUACGGGAGGCAGCAGUAGGGAAUCUUCCGCAAUGGACGAAAGUCUGACGGAGCAAUGCCGCGUGAGUGAAGAAGGUUUUCGGAUCGUAAAACUCUGCUGUAAGGGAAGAACAAGUACGUUAGUAACUGAACGUACCUUGACGGUACCUUACCAGAAAGCCACGGCUAACUACGUG
rnacentral:rRNA from 1 species